UUUUUCUURACACAGAGAAAGGGCACUUAUCAAAUUUGAAAAGUUAUGUCCAAUGAAGCAUUCAGGUGUUCUAGGGUGAUCUUAAAAAAAAAAAAAAAAAAAAAAAAAAAGCAAGUGCACCAAGCAGACAUCAGAGUAUUAUCCAAAAGAACUGAGUAACUGCUGCACUUUCACCGAGCUGUGGGUAACUCUUGGUGAGUAGUUCCUCUUUGUGGAAGCACUUGCUAUACAGAACUGCCAAAGUAUGUGUUCAGCAAUGUGCCCAGUUUUAAAGCUGUAAAUGGGACAAAAUAAAUUGUGAAAGGAAGUGUAGUUGACUGAAAACUACAGUUGUAAUAAGUCUUCCACUUUUUAUAGGAUUUUUGAGCACACAAUUAUGCAAAUGUUUUAAUGUUUAUUAAUGUUUACAGUGGAAUUGUGAAUAGGUUUUCAGUGGACUAUCUUAUCCCUUGACAAAAAUAUUUUGUCUUUUUUCUAUGUAAUUUCAGAGUUUUUAUUUUGUUACAAAAAGACGAAAAAAGAAAUAUAUAACAACAAUGAAGUUAUUUAACAAGAUUUCUAAAGCUGAAAUUUUUGUGUAAAAUAAGGUAUCUUGCAACUUGUUAAAUAUAUUUAUUCAGACAUUGGAUGUUGUAUUUUUAUGUAUUUUUUAAAAUAUUAAUAAAAUUGGAAAAAAAAAAUUCUAGGUUAGUUCACUCUUUGGACAAAACAUCCUUAUCAGUUCUGGCUCUUCAGGAGGAGUUAUCCAGUAGCCAAGCCUGUACUUCCAAUGGGUCUGUCUACAUAUCCUCCACCACACAGAUCUGCCAGCAGGCAUCUGGGUUAAGCUAAAACUUUAUUUGGAAACUUUGGCAGUCCUAGUACUUAACCUUGUUUGGAGGAACAAAAUUUAUUGGGUUGCCCUUAAGAUGCUUUGUCACAAGUUCUUGUGUUUGCUGUACUGCCGAAUAAAUUUAUAUCUCCCAAAGUUGAGAUGCACCAAUAAAGUAAAGCAACUGUGUGUGCUCUGCCUGUGGAUUGUCCCACGGGCAGAUGCAGUUUGUAAAUAACUCUUCCAAACCCAUGUAUUUAAAGCAGUUUGCAUAUACAUUAUGUAUAAAAAGUGAUUUUUUUAAUCAAUUUUUUUAUUCAUGUUUGUACAUUGAAAGGGGGCCUGAGCCCCUUUUUCUGUGUUUAAUAUGCUGUAGAGUAAUAACAUAGAUGCUCUAGACUGUAUAUCAGGAUAUUCUGGUUCCACACGGCAGAAGGUCAGGAGGAAACACUAGUGAUGGCGUAGCAUUACUAAAAUUGAUGUUUCUUGAAAUUUCAUUUUACAACAUUUGUCAACUUGUGAUUCCAAUUCCUUCCAUUUUCGCAGAGAAUUAAAGAAAAAGUACUCUUGUAAAUGCACUUUUUCUGUCUUUUCUUAAGCAAAGCAGAACUAUUUCAAUGUAAGAUAAAUAUGGAGCUCACUAGACAGCGCUAAUAAAGGCCAUGUUUUAAACAUAGGCUUUAUAUUCUAUUUUUAUUUAAGUGAUUGUUCUUGUAAAUGUCUGGACUUUAACCUAAAUAGGAAAGUUAAUCUCCAUAAAUUACUGUAAAGACUUUUUCAGAACUAACUUUUACUGUUAAUCUUAUAAUAGCUACGAAUAAAAAGCAAUAUUCGUUKAAAAGGAAGUAACAUGGGUCACAUGUUUAAUAUUUGCAGAAGCAGAUCUAAAAUCUGGGGAAAUAACAGGAUUAAUCACGUGUUGUGCAGAUCUCUGAUAUCUAACCUGUGUGCACACUGUGAGAUCUUGAACAGGCACGGAGGAUGGAGGAUCUGUGCCUCAAAGUGGAUGUUCCCACRUGUGCCCUCAGCUGGCUGCUGCUCCCUGUCUCUUAGGAAUGUUUAAAACUCUGCUUGGAAGGCUCCAGCUUCCUUAGGAGGAAAAAAAAAAGUGGGAUCCACCACUGUUAAAAAGAACAGGGUUGUAAGAGAAUCAGAUUCUUCCCUCAUUUCCUGCAUUUGAUACAAAGAACUGUCAGAUUUCUGGCAGAUAUCUUAUCUUUGUGUUAGCAUAUAUCUGAAAGAUGGAAAAACUUUGAAUGUUUCCGUGCAAGGACAUAAGGUAAGAUUCAUUCCCAUACUUGUUUGUUUUCACUUUCUUUCCGUCCAGUUUAUCAGCUACAUUUGUACUAAUGAGUUUUGAUUUUGUAAUGUGAAYGUUUAGCAACACCCUGUUAAAUCCCUGCUUGUUUUUGGCUCCUCYGUCAGGUUACUGGUGGCUGAGAAAGUUUCUUCUGCUUAAUCAGCCUGAACAGAUCAGGCAGGAGAAGCARAGUUGUCAGAACAAUAAUAACAAGUCAUUGUUUUGACAGAGGUUAAGCAGAUUUUCAGUAGCAAUUAUCAGUGAAUGAAAAGCAUAACAAGGGCAAAGAAAUGUGUGACUUCAUGAGGAUGAUGUAUCUGACCUUCACAGGGAGCAGCAGAAAAGGUGAUGCUUUUGUGCAUGCUUGAAUCUAUUUUUUUAAGGUGCACUAUUAGAAUAGACAGAAUUUUUUUAAAUGGUUACAUAUUCUCAUUUUUUGUAGGGGAAGCCAUGCAGUAAUGGCUACCAAAAUUACUCAGGAUGGCUUUGAUGUGGAGCUGGAAYGAGAAUCUGAAUCUAAGGAUUGUCAACUCCUGUGCCUCAGUCAGAAUAUCCACUGCUGAGAGAGCCUUCUCUCUCCAGACAGGUUUGUCAACCAGAUGGAAUAUCUCCUUAAAGAAAGCUAAUACUUUUAUAACAUUUUCUUCUUUUCCCCAUUAAAAAUACUCUUGGAUAGCUGAGUCAGCCAAAUGGAUUUUCUGGGCAGCAUUUACUGGAAUUCCUUUACAGCAGUAAGUCUAAGAAAUGCUGUUGUUUUCUUUUUAAGAAAAGAGCAGGUUUAGUUUGAUGUCUUAAAAGAAAUCUGACAUGAGCCAGGAGCCAGAUUUACCAGCUGAAAUAAAAGAUGAAUGUGUUCACAAAAGUAUGUUGGGCUGUUKACUUCACUUCUGCCUUUGCAGAAAUUAUGCACUGAAAUCUUCGUUAUUUUUCCUUYUCUGUUCUUUGGAGUUUAUUAUUUGCUGCAGUGUGCAGGAUAAAGGUUCUGGAGAUGUGGGGAACAUAAUAAAACAGUGGAACCAAAGGGGAUGUUGCCAGAGGCUGAGUCACUGUCAUUCCAGGGCUUAGGAAAAGGACAUUUUAUAAUUAGCUCACACUUCUAAGCUACUGCUUGCAAAUUUUGAGAAAAUCUGUCAYUCUCCCAUAUUUCCUCACACCAAAUAGGAUGGGUUUUUAAGAGGUCUCAGAGUUUAAAAUAAUUCCCCUUUAUUAGUUACCACUGAGUAGGUGGGAUUUAUUUGGGAUCUUCUGUUUGCUUUGGAGACCUGUGAGUUCCCCAAAUUCCACAAGCAUUUAUUGGUCCCAUCCACUGCUUUGAAGGAAUAUGUAAAUUCAGUUUUUGUGUUCCAGUGCUUUUGGUCUGAAUUUGUGUUUGUUUUAGUGCCAGUGAGUAGUGGGGUUUGUGAUUAGCCACAGCCCAGUGACAAAUACUCACUGUGUUGWCAUUUAAAGAAAACUGGAAGGAUAAAACAGUAUUAAUUGUGAAAGCAGAUUUUCUAAGAAUAGGACUUGUCUAGUGUUGUCUUUGUUUGGAAUUUCCUUUUCUACUUAUGCUGCUAUUCCUGCUCCUUCCCAUUGCAGAGAAACCCCAAAUUCUGGCUCAAAGCAGGUUGGUUCUGCUUCAGCCCUGCAGCUGUUUACAUUGGUUAACACCCUUGUGCUGUUGCUUAUCCCAUCCCAAGAGUUUUCGAACAUGAAGAAGUGUCUUUGUUUGGUGGCACUUGGCUUCAGUUCACCAGCACAGCUCACUCAAUGCAGUAACCACAGAAGCUUUGCAUCACUUUCUCUGUUUCAGUGUUUUGCCAGCAGAGAAAACCUGCCCUGGAGCUGUGCAGGUGCUUGUCACUCGUGUGUUUAACUCUCACCCUGAGCCUGUUGGUGAGGCACUCACUGCUCUGGGUUGGUUGCUGUGGCUUUGGUGUUGUUUCUCUCCUGCUGUUCAGAACAACCCAACAUUUCCAUUCCAGCGUUGUCAGUGUCUUCAGCAUUUCCUAAACUCCUCCUCUAAUCCCUCAUCUGGGUACAGCUUGACCCAAUUUACCAUGUUCCUGCCAGCUCUGCCAGUUUCAUAAGGAGGGGUUAGAUGUGGAAUUUGUAUGAAACACUUUGUUAUAUUGCUYAAGAGUGUUUUUUCUUUCUGUUUUAACAAGACACUUGUUUAUGUUUAUGUGUAUGUGUAGCUUAAAAUCAUCUCUCUUGAUGCUCCUUUAUUUCCCUUAUGAAUAAAUAAAGCUAUUUUAAAAGGAAAAAAAAAGUGCCCCAAAAACAAAAUCCCCAAACCYUUGAUUCCUUCUGUGCAUGCUCUGUUUCCCACCCUCCUGUGUGCCAUUCCAGGAGCUUGGGGGCAGUGGCUGCCCUCAGGUGGGCAGGAGAAUCCCUCUCUGAUAAGGAAAUGUUUUGGCAGUGGUACAGUAAGAGGUACAGUUUUUUCCUGGUCUGUGCAGGUAUUUGAAUGUGUUUGACUCAGUAUGUGAGAGCAGCCUCACUUAAUCCUGUGGGAAUAAUUAUGGAAUAAUGUUAUCCACAGGCAGUGCAGGAGUGAGCUGAUUUUUGUGACUGUCAUUUGGCUGCUGCUGCUGCUGCUGCAGUGCUCCUUGUUUGAUCUUCUCUGGAGAAUCCUGAACAAUGCUGAUUGAUCUGAUGGCUCUGCCAGCACUGCUGCUGUCCCGGGCACUCUGGAACAAGGCUCUCAUUUGACCCUUCCUGCUGAAAUGGUUCUGGUUUCCGUGGGCUGCCGAGUAAUUGUGUGUGUUUCCAGAAGGAAGGAUCCGUGUUCCUGUCGCUGCUGCAGUGAGCAUCUCCUCCAAAUGAGUGUCUGUUUACCAGCUCGGUUUCAUUGAGCYGGUUUUUGGCAGGCUGCCCUCCUGCUCCCUCCCACCUCCACUCACUUUUUUCCACAGCUUUCUCAGUACUCCUUCCUCAGCAACAUUCCAUUUUYCACCCUUUGCUCCCUCUUCCCUCAAAGCUGGGUCCAUUCCUGCACCUAUUGUGCCUCAGCAAGGUGAUUCACCCCCUCGUGACACCCGUUAACAGCAUUUAAGAAAAUUCUGUUGUCUUUCUGUUAGGGUCCAGAGUAAAACCAUAAUCCCAUUUUUAUUAUUUAUCACUUGGAUGCUUUAGUUACCUGAAUGCACUUUGUUUCCAAGCUAAAAUAUAUUUGUAUCAUCUGUAUGCACCUGUCAUCUGGAUUUAAAAGAUCACAGCAUUUUUUUUGGAGUGAAAUGUAGCUUGGACAAAAUGGGUUAUCCAAACCUG